rnacentral:rRNA from 1 species
GACAGAGGUGGCAAGCGUUGUUCGGAAUUACUGGGCGUAAAGGGCGCGUAGGCGGCCUUCUAAGUCAGACGUGAAAUCCCCCGGCUUAACCUGGGAACUGCGUCUGAUACUGGGAGGCUUGAGUAUGGGAGAGGGAUGUAGAAUUCCAGGUGUAGCGGUGAAAUGCGUAGAUAUCUGGAGGAAUACCGGUGGCGAAGGCGGCAUCCUGGACCAUUACUGACGCUGAGGCGCGAAAGCUAGGGGAGCAAACGGG